UACGGAGGGGGCUAGCGUUGUUCGGAAUUACUGGGCGUAAAGCGCACGUAGGCGGCUUUGUAAGUUAGAGGUGAAAGCCUGGGGCUCAACUCCAGAACUGCCUUUAAGACUGCAUCGCUUGAAUCAUGGAGAGGCGGGUGGAAUUCCGAGUGUAGAGGUGAAAUUCGUAGAUAUUCGGAAGAACACCAGUGGCGAAGGCGGCCCGCUGGACAAGUAUUGACGCUGAGGUGCGAAAGCGUGGGGAGCAAACAGG
rnacentral:rRNA from 1 species